UCCUUCUUUUUCACCACGGAUCUGUGCCCAGACGUCCUCUGCUUGCACGCAAGUUCAGAGUCGAUGACUGCGGCAGUUCGAUACAUCCUAUGGAGACAUCGCACUCUUCCUUUUGGAAUAUGGUGUCAAUUAUCCUAUCGACAGGUCCCAGAACAACCGGGCUCUUCCCGGGGAGAAGCUUGGUUCGCCGUCAAAAGCUGAGCCUCGUGGACCGGGAAUCCCAAGAACGUCAUAUUCCACUCCGUUGCCAGAGAUCGUCGAUCCAUGAGGCAGGGGCAAACCAUGACUGUCGUUACAUAC
rnacentral:sRNA from 1 species